CGGGGACCGCCGGGGUCGAACUCGGAGGAAGGUGGGGAUGACGUCAGAUCAUCAUGCCCCUUACGUCCAGGGCUUCACGCAUGCUACAAUGGCCGGUACAACGGGAUGCGACCUCGUGAGGGGGAGACGGAUCCCUUAAAACCGGUCUCAGUUCGGAUUGGAGUCUGCAACCCGACUCCA
rnacentral:rRNA from 1 species